UGAGGAAUAUUGGUCAAUGGGCGAGAGCCUGAACCAGCCAAGUCGCGUGAAGGAUGAAGGUUCUAUGGAUUGUAAACUUCUUUUAUUCGAGGGUAAAGUGAGGUACGUGUACCUUAUUGCAAGUAUCGAAUGAAUAAGCAUCGGCUAACUCCGUGCCAGCAGCCGCGGUAAUACGGAGGAUGCGAGCGUUAUCCGGAUUUAUUGGGUUUAAAGGGUGCGUAGGCGGAUUAUUAAGUCAGCGGUGAAAGCGCGUGGCUCAACCAUACAGUUGCCGUUGAUACUGGUAGUCUUGAGUGUAAACGAGGUAGGCGGAAUGUGAUGUGUAGCGGUGAAAUGCAUAGAUAUGACACAGAACACCGAUUGCGAAGGCAGCAUACUGGACUGUAACUGACGCUGAAGCACGAAAGCGUGGGGAUCGAACA
rnacentral:rRNA from 1 species